AUAGUAGGUCGGUUUGUCGCUUUUCCCUUGAGGAAUGGAGGAAAGUCCGGGCAACGCAGAGAGCCAUACUUCCUAACGGGAAGCUGUUUGUGAGAGCAGAGUAGCGUAACAGAAAAUAACCGCUCCGACUUGUCGGAGUAAGGGUGAAAAGGUGAGGUAAAAGCUCACCGGGUUUGAUGGUAACAUCAGAUGCCGUACGUCUUAUGGGUUGCAAGAUCACGUAUACCGACGCAUGUAGGGUUUCUCGCCCGAUGUCGGGGGGUAGAUCGCUAAAGGCAAAUGGCGACAUUUGUUCGAGAUAAAUGACAAACACUUUGUGCAAACAAAGUACAAAACCCGGCUUACAGACCUGCUAUUUUC
rfam:Paludibacter propionicigenes WB4, complete genome.